CGACCAAUCAGCAAGUCACUUGAGUUGCUCCUGCGUGGGCUCGACCAAUCAGCAAGCAGCAUGCUGGUGACUUCCCGGGUUUAAAAUUAGUGAUUCACUCCUCUUCUGUUUUAAUUCAUUUUUACCCUUUUUAUGAUGAUUGAUGCGAUGGAAGAUGAUGAGUGGGAUAACAUACCUACGGUGGAGGACGUCCUGUCAUCAGUCUUAAAGAGCACGAGCAAGUUUGGCAAAGUGAAGCUGGUUGCAACCAUUUUUCACUCAAAAGUCUACAAACUUGAAGAAAGAUGUUUCGCCAGAAAAUGGAGUUGAAA